rnacentral:rRNA from 1 species
CCUACGGGUGGCAGCAGUGGGGAAUAUUGCACAAUGGGGGAAACCCUGAUGCAGCGACGCCGCGUGGGUGACGAAGUAUUUCGGUAUGUAAAGCCCUAUCAGCAGGGAAGAAGAUGACAGUACCUGACCAAGAAGCCCCGGCUAACUACGUGCCAGCAGCCGCGGUAAUACGUAGGGGGCAAGCGUUAUCCGGAUUUACUGGGUGUAAAGGGAGCGUAGGUGGCAUGGCAAGCCAGAAGUGAAAACCCGGGGCUUAACCCCGCGGAUUGCUUUUGGAACUGUUAGGCUGGAGUGCAGGAGGGGCAGGCGGAAUUCCUGGUGUAGCGGUGAAAUGCGUAGAUAUCAGGAGGAACACCGGUGGCGAGGGCGGCCUGCUGGACUGUAACUGACACUGAGGCUCGAAAGCGUGGGGAGCAAACAGGAUUAGAUACCCGUGUAGUC